UUGAUCCCCUCUAUACAUUUUUAUGCAAAUGAAACAGCUAAAUUCGAAGCCAUACUUUUGCAUACUAAAAAUUGCAUUCUGCCGUCACAUUGUUUUUCAGUUAUGACUAACUAUGUUAAGGGUUUCAUUUGAGCACAUAUGAUUGCAGAACUAUCAUUCUCUUAUCCUGCAUCAUGUAAAUUUACUAACAGAAUUCAGUGAUGGUUGGGUUAUAAAAAUAAAUGGUUUAUAUUUAAGAGACAGUAGGCUCUUAUCAAGUCAGAUUUCAUGGCUACAGAGGAAAAUGAAUCUGCAUCAAUUAGAGAUUGCCAGAAACCAAGUCAAAUUUAUACCAUCAAAUCAUAUUUUGAAAUUUCAUUUUGUUAGAAUUUUUUUGAGUACAUAUGGUUCUGUAACUAGUAUUUUCUCUUCAUAUAUCCCUUAUGUUAAAUUAAGUGGGUGCAAUUAUGUUUGAAUCAUGAAAAUGGAUAUGAAAUUAUUUGGCUUACAGCAGACAUUUAUCAACAUCCAUCUUUCAUAGCAUUGCAGUAAGAUGGAUCUGCAUUUUUUGAGAUGAUUGGAUGUUAAAGUUUUUUAAGAUGGGUUUGUAUAGGAUGUUUCAAUUAGGUCCAAACUGUUCUUGGAGUUAUACUCUUCUUCACAUGUUGAAACUAUGUUAUUAUAUAAUACAUAUACGAGAUAGAGGCAUGUCAGGGUAUAGGGCUUUAAAUUUUUUUAUGAUGCAGGACUCCUACUUUCUACAUUAUUGUGGGAGGACCAUGAAAUAAGCCAUUUGCUCAUAAGCCUUUAAUUGUCUCAAUUAGAAAGCUCCUGAAGUCCUACAGGAACAGAGUUGUAGACUCUAGGGAUGAGAUGGGAGAGUGAAAAGAUAAUAUCAUGAGGUAUAUGCAUAAUAAUUCUUUUAUAAGUGACAGUUCCAAAGGGAAUCACUGAAAUUACAGAAGUUAAAAGAUUUUAUUCAAUGAUAUAUGACAUACUGAUUCUUUAGCAACACAAAGAUACUGGUGAUGCAAUUCAAUGUGGAGAUGAAGCAAGAGGUUUGUUACCAGAAUCAGGUCCAACAGUUGCAACUGGGAGAGUUACUUCUCGUAUAUCCAAAGAGCCUUGAACAGGAGAUAAGGAAAAUGCUGCACAUCCUAGAGGUAUUAAGAUGAUGAUCUUCUUGCCAUCGUCGAUCCCCUAGUACAUAUAAAUGACACGUAAUGAUCUUUUCCCCCAAGAUUUUAGUAUUCGAGACUAGUUGGUAGCUCACUGCCUAGAUGUCUAUCAUGAGGCUGAUGUUGUGCUUUCUGCAAGAUCUGUAGAAAGGUGUUUGGCGUGGCUGGGCAAAUUGUGUAAUGACAAGCUUAUAAGCUGAGCAAGUUGAUCUUCGAUGAUGUCAUUUCAACAGUGUUGGAAGUUAGCUUCUCUAGCAUUGUGGUAGAAGUCACUGAGACUAUGGGGAAAGAAGCGCUUGUCAAACAACUGGGACCAGCCUAGCAUCUUAAUGUAUCCAACUCUUACCACUUGUAAAAUGGUUUUAAUCUUUCACAAUCUUAUGCAGAGGUUGUUAGCAUGAGAAACCAAGAUGCUUCUUUUGCACUCAAAAGCAGGUCACAUAUCAUACCGUUUUCAUCAAUAUUUUGAACAUUGACAAAUUGUUAGGUACCAUAUUAUAUUGAUGACUAACCAUAUUGUCUUUCUUUUACAUAUUUCA